CAUAACUAUUAUUAUCAAACUACAGGUUUAAAAGUGAAGAAAAAUCUACCGAUAUAUGAUAUUGGCAUGGUUGAUGGUGGAGUGACGACUGAUUGAUGUAGGUAGAAAGGGCUUUACGAAGAUAUUGUUACUGCUGGUGGUCGAGUGACGAUUGGUCGAUGUAAAUGGAAAGGGCUUUGCGAAGAAUGAAGAUAUUGUCACUGCUAGAGGACGAGUGAUGAUCGGUCGAAGUAAAUGGGAAGGUAGGUCUUUGUGAAGGUAGAAGAUAUUGUUUCUGCUGGUGAGCGAGUGGCAAUUGAUCGAUGUGAAUGGACAGAUUCUGACGGGAACAGCGAAUCAAGGCGAUCUCAAUAUUACAAAUCUGGAUAAAGUGUGUACUUGACGGAAGUAGAAGAUGAUUAAUCCCACAUGAAGCAGGCGUAAAAUGGCAGUUAUCGAGAUAUGGAGUGUUUUAGAAUUGUACCAAUCGUAUUUUCCAUUUUAUUUUAAUCAGUUCUGUAUCCGGGUUUUAGAGGAGGUCAGCGCUUGCUUAGCUUAGCCAACCCAGAUCGUGGGUCAUGAUAGGUAUCGAUUGGUUAGGGACACUUGAGAUUUCUUGAUGUGUACAUGUGAGGGCUGCCAUUAAAUAACUAUCAGCUCGUAGACUUCUAUCAUAGAUAUAAGCGCAAGAUUCAUUCGAAUACGGUAUCUUGUAAGUUGGUAAGGUUCCUGUACUUUGUCACAAAUUUCGUCGUUCUGUGCCUAAAAUCUUUGCAGUUUUUGUUAUUUCAACAUAGUUUCUUUUUGUUAAUGGAUAUUAAUAAAUAA